AUAAGCUAAGUUCGGUGUACAUCGCAGUGCAGAAGAAUUACGUGGAGAUUGUUCGAGAUCUUCAGUACUUCCUACUAGACUUGGAGUGAUAGACGUAGAAGUUACAGUUCCAGUAAAGCAAAGUAAAGUCUUGACUAGAAGAUUUUCCAGCAACGUGAAGAGUACGCCUGUUCCAGUACUUAUCUACUCUAUUUAACACUACUGAUAGGGAUAAUAGGAUCUUUACUCUCAACACGACUCGCUCAGGGCUGCUUUAGUGGUGGAAACGUAGAUACUUUCGAAUUUAUUUCGACUUCUUUGUUUUGCUUGUCAAGGACGUUUUAGAGAUUCAGAUACAUCUCUAUCAAUUGAUGAAGACUCAACACCAAGGACUAUACAACUUGGUGCGAAAAGGAAGUAUUGGAAAGUUUUGAAAGAUUUUUGGAAGUCAAUUUUAGUUUUAAUUUUAGUAUUUUGAGGAUUUAAAUUUAAUGCACAGGGUUAGGGCCGUGUAUUUUAUUUUGAGACUUGACUUAUUUUUAAGUUUUGGACUUUUGAUGCGUGGGAGCAUUAAAAUUUAAAUUUUGAAUAAGGCGAUUAUUUUAUUGUUUUAAAAUAUUCGAAAAAAAUUUUUGGGUAGAGAUGUUGUAAUAUGGUAUUUAGAGAUAUCUUUUAGGAUAUCUUAGUUUUAGUAUAACGUUUACGGGACGUAGGAUUUAGUAUGUAUUUCCGGGUAUAUAAUAACCAAAUGUUUUUAUAUGUUCGUAUUUGGGAGUUACAC